rnacentral:tRNA from 1 species
AUCUAGGUAGCUUAAAUUUAAAGCACAUCCCUGAAGAAGAUAAAAUGAGUUCCUCCCUAGGUA